AGUAACUGCAUUUAGGCGGAGACAGAAUCAAAAGUUUCAGAGUCUAUUAGGGCAUGGGGAACGAGGACCAUGCCACUGAUUUGGGUUCUUUUUCUAAUUUUCUGAUUUUGGGGUUUUGCAGGGAGUACUGAUGUACUGAUUUUCUCGGAUUUUUUUUGUCCUUGCAGGAUUUUUGGUCUUUGAAAUGGGUCUCCACCCCACAUUUCACAAGUUCAAAUUCCAUAGAAGUCGGUUCUGCAGGUUGUGUCUGCAAUUCGAUCAGAGAUCAACCGCUCUUUUGUUAUCCUGCGGAAGAUUGCUUUUGGGAAGUAUCUGAAGCAGUUCCUCUCUGGAUAGGAGAAACAAAGAGGAUUACACUUAUAACUGCCCCUCCCCAUCGGCCAUCUUCAAAUUUGGAUCACAAGAAGGGAGCAACAUAGGUGUUGUCCUUCUUCAUUUAUAUACGGAACUACGAUCCAGUGGCUGGAUAGAAGAAAAGGACAACGCAUGCUCUCUCUCACAGUGGCUCUGUGUUCCUCUCCCCCCAAACAUAAUGGCUUCGGCUUUGAUCUGAUCAAACCCACCUCCAAAACCCUUCCUUGAUCACCAUCUUCAGCAACCCAAUUCGGAGCCUGCUCGGAUCGGGACCUCUUGGAGAUUCGGAGUUCCAGGCAAGCAGAAUGAUGUAAAUCCAUGGCGAUUUACAGUGGCUUUGAAGGGUUGGACGUGCCCAUAUAAAGUUCUGGAAGACAAACUGCUUUGGAGCCAGCAACACUCAGCAGCCAGAGCAGCGGCGCCUCUCUUCCUCAUCGCAAAAUGGGUGUUUUCAGGGUGAGCCACAAUGCUCUUAAUUUCAAGUAAUAGGUUUGUGUUACUGUGCAGAUCUGGCUAACUUUGCAUUUAGUUUCUUGGAAUUGUUAUUUUUUUUUUUGCAAUUAUAUAUUUUUAAUGCUUUUAUGUUUGUCGUUCUGUGCUGGGAAAUUGGAAACCUCUGGAAAUAAUAUAGUUCUUGAGCUA